rnacentral:rRNA from 1 species
GUCUAUGGCCAUGCCACCCUGAACAUGCUUGAUCUCAUCUGAUCUCGGAAGCUAAGCAGGGUCAGGUCUAGUUAGUACUUGGAUGGGAGACCACCUAGGACGACCAGGUGCUGUAGGCA